rnacentral:rRNA from 1 species
AGAGUUUGAUCCUGGCUCAGAACGAACGCUGGCGGCAGGCUUAACACAUGCAAGUCGAACGCCCCGCAUGGGGAGUGGCAGACGGGUGAGUAACGCGUGGGAAUCUACCCAAUUCUUCGGAACAACACAUGGAAACGUGUGCUAAUACCGAAUGAGCCCUUCGGGGGAAAGAUUUAUCGGAAUUGGAUGAGCCCGCGUUGGAUUAGCUAGUUGGUGGGGUAAUGGCCUACCAAGGCGAUGAUCCGUAGGGGGCGUGAGAGCGUGGCCCCCCACACUGGCACUGAGAUACGGGCCAGACUCCUACGGGAGGCAGCAGUAAGGAGUAUUGGGCAAUGGGCGAAAGCCUGACCCAGCAACGCCGCGUGAGGGACGAAGGCCUUCGGGUUGUAAACCUCUUUUCUGAGGGACGAGACAAGGACGGUACCUCGGGAAUAAGUCUCGGCUAACUACGUGCCAGCAGCCGCGGUAAAACGUAGGAGGCGAGCGUUAUCCGGAUUUACUGGGCGUAAAGCGCACGCAGGUGGCUUCGUUAGUCGGAUGUUAAAGCUCCUGGCUUAACUGGGAGAGGCCAUUCGAUACUGCGAGGCUUGAGGUUGGGAGAGGGGUGUGGAAUUCCCGGUGUAGUGGUGGAAUGCGUAGAUAUCGGGAGGAACACCUGUGGCGAAAGCGACACCCUGGCCCACACCUGACGCUGAGGUGCGAAAGCGUGGGUAGCAAACAGGAUUAGAUACCCUGGUAGUCC